rnacentral:lncRNA from 10 species
AUUGAGAAGGACCAGAUUAUUGAGAUGGCCUGUCUGAUAACUGACUCUGAUCUCAACAUUUUGGCUGAAGGUCCUAACCUGAUUAUAAAACAACCAGAUGAGUUGCUGGACAGCAUGUCAGAUUGGUGUAAGGAGCAUCACGGGAAGGAAAUUCAGUUCAUGAAGAUAAGAAGUUUCUUGACAAAUACAUGCCCCAGUUCAUGAAACAUCUUCAUUAUAGAAUAAUUGAUGUGAGCACUGUUAAAGAACUGUGCAGACGCUGGUAUCCAGAAGAAUAUGAAUUUGCACCAAAGAAGGCUGCUUCUCAUAGGGCACUUGAUGACAUUAGUGAAAGCAUCAAAGAGCUUCAGUUUUACCGAAAUAACAUCUUCAAGAAAAAAAUAGAUGAAAAGAAGAGGAAAAUUAUAGAAAAUGGGGAAAAUGAGAAGACCGUGAGUUGAUGCCAGUUAUCAUGCUGCCACUACAUCGUUAUCUGGAGGCAACUUCUGGUGGUUUUUUUUUCUCACGCUGAUGGCUUGGCAGAGCACCUUCGGUUAACUUGCAUCUCCAGAUUGAUUACUCAAGCAGACAGCACACGAAAUACUAUUUUUCUCCUAAUAUGCUGUUUCCAUUAUGACACAGCAGCUCCUUUGUAAGUACCAGGUCAUGUCCAUCCCUUGGUACAUAUAUGCAUUUGCUUUUAAACCAUUUCUUUUGUUUAAAUAAAUAAAUAAGUAAAUAAAGCUA